GUUAGGCCUGACCCAUUUUUUUAAUAUGGUAUUAGAAACCCACCAACUAAUAUUUGGGCCUCCCAUAAAUUGUGUCACGCUCCAACUAUUAGACUUAAGCGUGAGGGAGGUGCGCUAAGAUCCCAUAUCGAUUUAUGAUAAGAGUAAUAUAUUCUUUAUAUGGCCUUUGGCACUCCUUACCCCUCCCCCUUGAGCUAGCUUUUAGGGG
rnacentral:misc_RNA from 1 species